UACGUAGGGUGCAAGCGUUGUCCGGAAUUAUUGGGCGUAAAGAGCUCGUAGGCGGUCUGUCGCGUCUGCUGUGAAAAUCCGGGGCUCAACCCCGGACUUGCAGUGGGUACGGGCAGACUAGAGUGUGGUAGGGGAGACUGGAAUUCCUGGUGUAGCGGUGAAGUGCGCAGAUAUCAGGAGGAACACCGAUGGCGAAGGCAGGUCUCUGGGCCACUACUGACGUGAGAAGCGAAAGCAUGGGGAGCGAACAGG
rnacentral:rRNA from 1 species